rnacentral:lncRNA from 1 species
UUGUAGGGAAAAAAAAUCGGUCAGGAGGAAUUUUUUUCCGAACAGUCUCUUUUUCCACAUUUUUACUUCAAUUCGUGAUAAUAUUAUUAUAAGUUGUAGGUGUGAUAAUAUUUUUCCAUAUCACAAAUACUUUUGUGCAACUGGUUGCCAGAAUGACACUAUUUCAUUCGGGAAAUGACACUUGAAUAUUUCUGAAUGACACUAUUUCAACAUACAAAUGACACUUGAAGAUCUUCAAGUGUCAUUUGUAUGUUGAAGUAGUGCCAUUCGAAAAUAAGUUGCACGGGAGAGUGACUCUUUCCAUAUUGUAUAUUUUUAUGAUCUUUCAAUUUUACCAUAUUGUAUAUUGGUCUUCAAGGUGGAGAAGCCUGCAUUGGAGUUUAAAGAUUGGAUGUUGAAGGAGGGGAUAUUGAACAGUAGUUCUUGACGGAAGACGUCCCCUGUGAUGUUUCCCCCAC